AUGACUGAGGCACAGAUGCGUCCGCUCUGCAGUGGCUCCUUCAGGCAGCAGCCAGAGCACCUGGGAGAGAUGAGACACGGAUGCUCACCUUGCUUCCCUCUCCCCGCCGCCUGCCCAGGAGAACCCGCCAGUAGAGGUGGAGGGGCCCCUCUUGGCACGGAGCUCUGCUGGCCUGGGAGACAGGAUGAUGCAGGUGAGAUAAAACUUUUCUUUCCAUCUUUUCUGUGUGCUGCUGCUGCUUUUUUACUUUACUGUGUUGCUUUGACCUUCUUGACUGGACUUCAGAGCUCUCCCAGAGCUAUUUUUGUGUGUGGAUAGUAGUUGUUCCAUGAUUGUUUUUUUGUGGAGAGAUGAGGGUGAGAUUUCCUACUUUGCCGUCUAGCUGACAUCACCCAGUAGACCUCUUUCAGUUUGUUCAUUUUCACUGCGACGGGGUAUGCCAGCCUUUCAUUCUAUGACUGCAAUCAUUUGUCCAUUCUGUGCUGUGUGCAUUUAUUUAUUUUGCUUUUGUGAAUAAUACAGUAUGGGUAGUCUCCCGCCUGUCUCCUGGUGGUCAUAUAAAAAGUUUUCUUUAGGGGAUUUUCUGCUGGGCUCGCUUGGGGAAUCUUCCAUGCUUGCAGCCGUCUGACAGCUCAACUGGAUCUGCAGGGCGCCAUGGUAGCCUCAUUUCAUCUGCCUGCUUUUCAUCUGUCUGGCUGCUGAUGCUGGCUCCUGGCUUCCUUAUCUUCCAUAUGGCUUCUCUCCUUCCAGUUGGCUAGACUGGUUUUUGCAAGCAAGGAAGUCUCAGGGUUCUAAGAAGGUGACAGCAGGAGAUGCAAGGUCUCUUCAGUUCUAGGCUGGGUCAUUCUCACAUGUGCUCUUGGUCAAAGUAAGGACAAGACCCAUCAGGAUAUAAGAGGUGGGGAUACAGUGUUCACAUCCCAGACCCAUGUUUUUAGUCUCGCACAGUCCAGUCAGUAGCCAACUGUUUCUCUUGCGACGGAGUAAACCACCUUGAACUUAGUAAAACAGCAAUGAUGUGCUGUUCUCUGGGAGUCUCGUGGUUGGCCACCUGCUCCGUUUGGGUGCUUGUCUACCCCGUGGGCGUUUAUGAGGCUGCAGUCUUCUGGUCUGAGUGGACCUGGAGGACCUGUGGAGACCCGUAAGCUGCUGCAGCUGGAGCUGGCCCUUGGCUGGGGAAGCCAGCUUCUCCCUCUAGGUAGCACCUCAUCCUUUGGUGAAUAGGAUUCGGAAUGCUCACGCUGUGGCGGUUUCAGGGAUCCGAGAACGUGAGGCCAGAAUUCACAAGGAUUGUAACAUACACCGACCUCACCUCUAACAGUUUAUUGGUCAAAGCAAGACCAAGUCCAGCCCCGCUUUAAGGAGAACACGUUUUAAUUGAUGUGAGGAGUUGCAGCCUACCAUGGAUCUAUUUUCAGUCUACCGUGGCUUGUAAGCUUUUUUGUUUGAAAGUCUACUUCGUCUGAUAUUAAUAAAGUACAUCAGGUUUAUUUAAAAAAUUAUUUA
rnacentral:lncRNA from 1 species